rnacentral:misc_RNA from 1 species
GGCAUUAGCAAAGUUAUCUUAGUUCUUUUUUUCAUGUCUUCUUUAAUCAGUAGUGUGGGGGCUAGCUUGAGAGCACCUCCUCAACUGAUCUGCAGGGCAACUUGGCUGGAUCACAAGCAUAGUUUCCCAAAUCAUGCCCAUCAAGGCUGAAGCAUAUGGGAAUACCAAGUAUUGUAGCUGGGAUUUGAACCUGGCGUCCACAUUGUUGCUCUCAUGCCUCAACCACUAAGCC